ensembl:lncRNA
GGUGGAUUGUCUUUAUGUUACAUGUGUGCAUGUUAGGUAGUGGUGGAUUGUCUUUAUGUUACGUGUGUGCAUGUUAGGUAGUGGUGGAUUGUCUUUAUGUUACGUGUGUGCAUGUUAGGUAGUGGUGGAUUGUCUUUAUGUUACGUGUGUGCAUGUUAGGUAGUGGUGGAUUGUCUUUAUGUUACGUGUGUGCAUGUUAGGUAGUGGUGGAUUUUCUUUUCUUUACUUGACACCCUGUGGUUUUGGGUUGUCCUGUAUAGUGUCCUGCGCCCUGUAUUGUGUUGGGCUUAUUAUUUUGGGGUGCAAGAGUAAAGCACUUUACUCGGUUACUCUCUGUCUCUCUGUGUCUGAUACCUGCACCCACCUAGUCCCGCGUGACAACCAUAGACUACGUC